rnacentral:rRNA from 1 species
CCUACGGGGGGCUGCAGUGGGGAAUAUUGGACAAUGGGCGGAAGCCUGAUCCAGCAAUACCGCGUGUGUGAAGAAGGCCUGAGGGUUGUAAAGCACUUUCAAUAGGGAGGAAAAAGGGUUGGUUAAUACCUGGCCCAUUGACAUUACCUAUAGAAGAAGCACCGGCUAACUCCGUGCCAGCAGCCGCGGUAAUACGGAGGGUGCGAGCGUUAAUCGGAGUUACUGGGGGUAACUGGUUAAGUGAGGUGUGAAAGCCCCGGGCUUAACCUGGGAACUGCAUUUAAAACUGGCCAGCUAGAGUUAGGUAGAGGGGAGUGGAAUUUCAGGUGUAGCGGUGAAAUGCGUAGAUAUCUGAAGGAACACCAGUGGCGAAGGCGGCUCCCUGGACCCAAACUGACGCUGAGGUACGAAAGCGUGGGUAGCAAACAGGAUUAGAUACCCCGGUAGUC